rnacentral:rRNA from 1 species
AUGGACGGCGCGGCAAGGGCCACCUUGUUGGUGUUGUUCUUGCCGUUCCUCAGUCUCAGUGUUGCUCAAAAUGUUACCCAGAGUAGAGCGGGUAUACUCGAUGUCGGAGUGAUCCUCCAUCUGAAGUCUUUGGUGGGCAAAAUAGCACGUACCAGCAUAUUGAUGGCUAUGGAAGAUUUCUAUGCAGUCCACAGGAAUUAUACGACAAAGCUAGUUCUCCACAUCAGGGAUUCCAACGGAGACAAUAUGCGAGCUGCAUCACAAGCUGUUGACCUGCUGGAAAAUUACUAUGUACGGGCCAUAAUUGGUCCACAAAAAUCUUCAGAGGCAACUUUUGUGUCUGAUAUUGGGAACAACAGUCAGGUCCCAGUUAUCUCCUUCACAGCAACGAAUCCCACCCUUUCAUCUGCUGAAGUGCCAUAUUUUUUACGUGCAACUGUAAGUGAUGCUGCUCAAGUGAAUAGCCUUGCUGCUCUCAUUAAGGCAUAUGGCUGGAAGGAAGUAGUGCCCAUCUAUGAGGACACAGACUAUGGCAGGGGCAUCCUACCCUACCUGGUUGAUGCCCUCCAAGAGUUUGGAGCUUCUAUGCCAUACCGCAGUGCAAUCUCUCGAUCAGCAAACAGUGACCAAGUUGAGAAAGAACUAUACAAGCUAAUGACAAUGCCAACAAGGGUCUACAUUGUGCACAUGUCAUUGGCCUUUGGCUCCAUUCUCUUCACAAAGGCCAAAGAGUUAGGAAUGAUGAGUGGAGCCUAUGCGUGGAUUUUGACAGAUGGGAUUGCAAAUGUUGUCGACUCGCUAAGCCCUUCGGUUCUUGAUGCAAUGGAUGGUGCAUUGGGUGUGAGAUUCCAUGUGCCUAAAUCGAAGGAACUUGGUGAUUUUACUAAGAGAUGGAAUGCGAGGUACAGGCAAGACAACCUGGAUGACCCACCAUUGCCACUAAGCAUUUUUGGGCUCUGGGGUUAUGACACUAUUUGGGCCUUGGCACAAGCAGCAGAAAAGGUAAGCAUGUACAAUGCAACAUUUCAGAAGCAGCAAGACAUAAAAAACUCAACGUGUCUUGGAACUUUGGGUAUUUCUACAAUUGGUCACAAACUUCUAGAUGCAAUCCUACAGCCAUAUUGGCAACAUCUACAGCGUAAGUUCAGAGGCUUAAGUGGUGAUUUUCACCUGAGGAGCAGGCAGCUUCAAUCUUCCAUAUUCCAGAUAAUUAAUGUGGUUACAAGAGAGCCGAAAGGAAUAGGUUUCUGGACGGCAAAGCAUGGAAUAAUACAGAAUUUGAUUCAAAAUGGAUCAGAACACACAUACCUAAAUUCUGGGCCGAAUCUGACUCAAGUGGUUUGGCCAGGAGAAGUAUCUGCCGUGCCUAAAGGGUGGCAAAUUCCUACCAAUGGAAAGAAGCUCCAAGUAGGUGUACUGACAAGUGGGUAUCCUGAGCUUAUAAAGGUUGAAAGGGAUCCGCUAACCAAUGCAAUAACUGCCACUGGGUAUGCAAUUGACGUAUUUGAAGAGGUGUUAAAGCGACUCCCAUAUGCAAUCCCUUAUGAAUAUGUAGCAUUUGAUCAAGGAGUAAGCAAUGGGAGCUAUAAUGAUUUUGUCUACCAAGUUAAUCUUGGGGUGUACCAAGUUGCAGUCGCGGAUAUAACUAUCAGGUACAACAGAACUUCCUAUGCUGAUUUCACAUUACCUUAUACUGAAUCUGGGAUAGCAAUGAUUGUGCCAGUAAAGGAUGGAACGACAAAGGAUACAUGGAUUUUCUUGAAGCCAUUAACUACUGACUUGUGGUUUGGAAGCAUUGUAUUCUUCAUAUUCACAGGGGCUGUGAUCUGGCUAUUGGAGCGACGAAUCGAUAACACUGAACUGACUGGCUCCAUUUCCCGCCAGCUUGGGAUAGCAAUAUAUUUCCCCUUCUUUGCUGAUAGGGAGAGGGUGGAAAGUAUUUUGUCUAGAUUGGUCAUCAUUGUAUGGGUUUUGGUUCUCCUCGUUAUUACAUCAAGUUAUACAGCGAAUUUAUCAUCAAUGCUUACCGUGCAGCAGCUUCAACCCACAGUAACUGAUGUCCAUGAACUCCUUGCGAAAGGAGAAUAUGUAGGCUACACAAAUGGCUCUUACUUAGGGGACCUAUUAGAACAAAUUGGUUUUGACAGAAGAAAGACCAAGCCAUACAGUAAUCCGGAUGAUUUUGAUGAUGCACUCUAUAAAGGUAGCAAAAAUGGUGAUAUUGCUGCUGUGAUAGAAGAAGUCCCAUACAUCAAAAUAUUCCUCUCUAAGUAUUGCAAAGGUUAUACAAUGAUCGGACCAAUUUACAAAUCUGAAGGUUUUGGCUUUGCAUUCCCCAAGCGUUCCCCUCUGGUCGAGGACUUCUCAAGGGCAAUCCUCAGCAUAACAGAGGGAGAUACUAUCAUUCAGAUAGAAAGGAAAUGGAUAGGAGACCAACAUGCCUGUCAGAAUGACGGCCCCACCAUCGGCUCAAGCAGUCUAAACUUCAAAAACUUUUCAGGACUCUUUCUGCUCACAGGAGUUGCUUCAACUUCUGCCCUUUUGAUAUCCCUCAUGAUGUUUCUCUACAAGAGGUACAAGAUAAGGAACGGCACAGGUCAGAUUGAGACGACUGCAGAUUCUAACCCGUCCCACGAUAUGCAGUUAACUGUACCUGAUGAUUCAGAUAGCUACGCCUGCCAACAAGAGAUAGAGAUAUCCAGAGAACUCACAAGCCCGUGUUCAGAAGUCCAAACAACUCCGGAUUUUAUGCCUCAUGGAACACCAGGCAAUGGUUUGUAG